UACGUAGGGGGCUAGCGUUGUCCGGAUUUAUUGGGCGUAAAGAGCGUGUAGGCGGCCAGGUAGGUCGGUUGUGAAAACUGGGGGCUCAACCUUCAGAGGUCGACCGAAACCAUCUGGCUAGAGUCCGGGAGAGGAGAGUGGAAUUCCUGGUGUAGCGGUGAAAUGCGCAGAUAUCAGGAAGAACACCCGUGGCGAAAGCGGCUCUCUGGAACGGUACUGACGCUGAGACGCGAAAGCGUGGGGAGCGAACAGG
rnacentral:rRNA from 1 species